CGUCUUCCUCAGUGGUCAAUUGUGUCUUUGUUUGGGAAUCGUUAAGACGUUUGACGAUUCCCAAACAAAGACACAAUUGACCACUGAGGAAGACGC
rnacentral:pre_miRNA from 1 species